GCUAGCGUAGCUUAAAAUAAAGCAUGGCACUGAAGAUGCUAAGAUGGGCCCUGAAAAGCCUCGCAUGCA
rnacentral:tRNA from 1 species